rnacentral:rRNA from 1 species
AUUGAACGCUGGCGGCAGGCUUAACACAUGCAAGUCGAACGAGUGGCGGACGGGUGAGUAAUGCAUGGGAACAUAUCUUAUGGAGGGGGAUAACUACGGGAAACUGUUGCUCAUAUCGCGUACCAUAGGAUGAGCCCAAGUGGGAUUAGGUAGUUGGUGAGGGAAAGGCUCACAAAGCCGACUAUCUCUAGCUGGUCUGAGAGGAUGACCGGCCACACUGGGACUGAGACACGGCCCAGACUCCUACGGGAGGCAGCAGUGGGGAAUAUUGCGCAAUGGGGGCAACCUGACGCAGCAAUGCCGCGUGAAUGAAGAAGGCCUUCGGGUUGUAAAGUUCUUUCGGUAGCGAGGCGUUAACUACAGAAGAAGCACCGGCUAACUCCGUGCCAGCAGCCGCGGUAAUUC